AUGUCUAAGAUUAGCCAUGCAUGUCUUAGUAUAAGCUUCAAUUUUGUGAAACUGCAAAUGGCUCAUUAAAACAGUCACAAUGCAUUUGGCGAUCAAUUCUAAAUGGAUAUCUGUGGAAAUUCUAUAGUUAGUACAUGCACUGAAACUUAUCUUUGGGGAAAGGUUGUGGUCGUUAGUUACAGAACCAAUUCAAGCUAUGCUUGGACACUUGAAUGAUUCACAAUGACAAAUGAAUUACAUGGCAACAGCUGGUGAUAAUUCAUUCCAGUUUCUGACCUAUCAGCUUUCGACGGUAAGGUAUUGGCUUACCGUGGCAAUGACAGGUGACGGAGGAUUAGGGUUUGAUUCCGGAGAGGGAGCUUGAGAAAUGGCUACCACAUCUAAGGAAGGCAGCGGGCGCGCAAAUUACCCAAUCCUGGCACAGGGAGGUAGUGACAAGAAAUAACAAUACAAGGCAUCCAUGUCUUGUACUUGGAAUGAAUGGAUUUUAAACCUUUCUA
rnacentral:rRNA from 1 species